AUACUCUGGUUUCUCUUCAGAUCGAUUAAAGCUUUCGCCUUUACUAAGGUUUCUGUGGAGAGGAUCAUCCAUAAAUUUUCAAAACUUUUUUGAGGCUUUGCUCCUUGCAGGGCU